AGAGUUUGAUCCUGGCUCAGAACGAACGCUGGCGGCAUGCCUAACACAUGCAAGUCGAACGAACCCUUCGGGGUUAGUGGCGCACGGGUGCGUAACGCGUGGGAAUCUGCCCUUUGCUUCGGAAUAACAGUUAGAAAUGACUGCUAGUACCGGAUAAUGUCUUCGGACCAAAGAUUUAUCGGCAAAGGAUGAGCCCGCGUAGGAUUAGCUAGUUGGUGGGGUAAAAGCUCACCAAGGCGACGAUCCUUAGCUGGUCUGAGAGGAUGAUCAGCCACACUGGGACUGAGACACGGCCCAGACUCCUACGGGAGGCAGCAGUGGGGAAUAUUGGACAAUGGGCGAAAGCCUGAUCCAGCAAUGCCGCGUGAGUGAUGAAGGCCUUAGGGUUGUAAAGCUCUUUUACCAGGGAUGAUAAUGACAGUACCUGGAGAAUAAGCUCCGGCUAACUCCGUG
rnacentral:rRNA from 1 species